AUGGCACUACAUUUAAGUUGCAACUUAAAUAAACCCGUCGCCUGCAGGUUCAAAACAAUUUCACAAAUAAUUGAAAGCAUGUGGACCAAACCAGUUCCAUUUCAGGCUACAAACCAGUUCGCAAAGCAAUUCAACCCGCCCUGCAUUUACAUCAGAAAACCGGUGCAGAUUUUAAUAAAAAAAGAAGAUGAAAUUUGA